UUUCCGUAGGUGAACCUGCGGAAGGAUCAUUAUUGAAUAACAGAGGUGGGAGGGCUGUCGCUGACCCGAAAGGUCGUGCACGCCCGAGUGGCCUCAAAAACAUACAGCUAACCCAUAUGUGCACCACCGCGUGGGGGCGCCGUUGGCGUGUUCGGAGGGGGGCUUACGCGUUCACACAAACUAUGAAUGCAGUGAAGAAUGUAUUGUUUGUUGUUGUGAUCACGCAAUCAAUACAACUUGCAACAAAGGAGAUGAUGGCUCUCGCAACGAUGAAGAACG
rnacentral:misc_RNA from 1 species